rnacentral:rRNA from 1 species
UACGGGGGGGGGCAAGCGUUGUUCGGAAUUACUGGGCGUAAAGGGCUCGUAGGCGGCCAACUAAGUCAGACGUGAAAUCCCUCGGCUUAACCGGGGGAACUGCGUCUGAUACUGGAUGGCUAGAGGUUGGGAGAGGGAUGCGGAAUUCCAGGUGUAGCGGUGAAAUGCGUAGAUAUCUGGAGGAACACCGGUGGCGAAGGCGGCAUCCUGGACCAAUUCUGACGCUGAGGAGCGAAAGCCAGGGGAGCAAACGGG